rnacentral:rRNA from 1 species
UACGUAGGGUGCAAGCGUUGUCCGGAAUUAUUGGGCGUAAAGAGCUCGUAGGCGGUCUGUUGCGUCGACGGUGAAAACCCUCAGCUCAACUGGGGGCCUGCCGUCGAUACGGGCAGACUUGAGUGCGGUAGGGGAGACCGGAAUUCCUGGUGUAGCGGUGAAAUGCGCAGAUAUCAGGAGGAACACCGGUGGCGAAGGCGGGUCUCUGGGCCGUCACUGACGCUGAGGAGCGAAAGCGUGGGGAGCGAACAGGAUUAGAUACCCUGGUAGUCCACGCCGUAAACGUUGGGCGCUAGGUGUGGGGAUCUUUCCACGAUCUCCGUGCCGCAGCUAACGCAUUAAGCGCCCCGCCUGGGGAGUACGGCCGCAAGGCUAAA